AAAUCUAUAAACUUAAUUAGUAUCCAUAACGCACGAUAACAUGCCGAAAUUGUUUUACCUUUUUUGAUGCACCCUGCACUAUACAUGUUGAAGGAUUUUCGAGAUUUCCAUCUACAAAAAACCAUUCCGAAUUUAAUAUCGACUGAGAUGCCUGAAAUCCUGAUAUUUACCCAUAUACCUUACACUGGCAUCACGUAGUAUGUACUAUAUAUACAUGAACUUGUGGUUAAAACUCGGCAAGUGGAUUCUGUAGCUCAGUUGGUUAGAGCGCUGUGCCGGAAUCGUAGGUUUGAUUCCUACCAGAGGGUCUAUAUAUAGUUGCAUUUUUUGCAGUUGUUCCUGGUUUGGUGUAUAAACGUCUAAAAUUUACACUCGAGGUUUCCAUCUACAAAAACCCCUCAACAUUUAGUAUCGAGUGUAUUAUAUGUACCUUUUUUCCUUGAUCAUGAUAUAGUCGUAAUCAAUGACUUGUAAGCUUUCUCAGUAAUUCUUGUAUAUGUACAUAUUCAAUGUAUCAUGAACAUGGCCGCCGAGAGGUUCAACGCUGAGCCCGGGCCAAAACUUUUCAAGGACCCGGUUAUGACGUCAUAAUUGUAAAAGGGGGGAAGCGUGUUUUACAAUAUAUCACAAUUUAUUGCAUUUUUGUCUGACACUAACGCAGCUAGGAUUUAUAUUCUCAGUAGCAAUCUUUUAUCCAGAAAUUUUAAAGGCCUUCGUUGGUUUGGGGGCCUCUUUUGAUUUUGGGGCUCGGGGGCCUCUUCGUUUUGGGGCACCCAACCCCUUUCGGCGGCCCUGAUUAUAAACUAUUGCUUUGAACUGAUUUAUGCUGUACAGAUCGUGUAAAUAUUUUACAAGGAAUCAAAUUUCAAAAACCCAGUGGUCUAAUUUUAGUAGGCUCCUAGCCCUAUAUAUGUUAGAUUACUUUAAAUCAUAAUGAUUCUUAUUAAUGUUGUAAUUGACGAAAUAAAUGAAUAAUCGAAAUUUCAAAAACUAUUAUGCUUGGCCAUAAUCUUGUUUUAAUCCAUGUCUUGGAUUGCUCAAGAUGUUUUAUUCGGACAUUGUUUCGUUUUAAAAAAUGCCGUAUUACUCCCAACAUAAGAUGGGCUUCCACGCUGAGGCGCUUACAUAUGACGGGCGAUAUUGUAUACGAAAAUAAUUUUGUGUUCGUAAGUGUGCUCUAAGAUAUACAGUGACAUAGCAUUCCCUUGUCAAAUUAACGUAACCAUUGAAAGCAUUUUCCCUUUUCAAUUACUCAAUUUUAACCUCUUGGCUUAUUUACGCCGAGGGGGGGGGGGAGGUAGGUGGAGGCUUAUGUAUUGUAUGGACUGAGGGUCAGUGAAUAUGCUGCGCUGGUCGACGUAGUUUAAUUUGGGCAUUGAGGACUUGUAUUUGGAGGUAUACGGUAAUACAACUCCCGUAAUACAAUUCUUAUUUGAACUUUUUUGAGACACAGAUCAGUGGCCAUGCAACAGGUCAUGCUAUGCAAUUUUUAAUGAAUUGCAUUCUUCAAACCUUUAGAAAUGUAUUAUUUUUAUUAGCAUAACAUGACCAGUUGCCAUGGCUAGCUCGCCAUUAGUAGGAUGUAUGGUAGCAUCACCCUCCCCCCAUGUAAAUAUAGUUAACACACAUUCUUAAUUACAUGGAAGACAAUGUAUCACUUUACAAAUUUAACUAG